CCUACGGGAGGCAGCAGUGAGGAAUAUUGGUCAAUGGGCGCGAGCCUGAACCAGCCAAGUCGCGUGAGGGAAGACGGUCCUAUGGAUUGUCAACCUCUUUUGUCGGGGAGCAAAAGACGCCACGCGUGGCUUUCCGAGAGUACCCGAAGAAAAAGCAUCGGCUAACUCCGUGCCAGCAGCCGCGGUAAUACGGAGGAUGCGAGCGUUAGCCGGAUUUAUUGGGUUUAAAGGGUGCGCAGGCGGAAGAUCAAGUCAGCGGUAAAAUUGAGAGGCUCAACCUCUUCGAGCCGUUGAACCUGGUUUUCUUGAGUGAGUGAGAAGUAUGCGGAAUGCGUGGUGUAGCGGUGAAAUGCAUAGAUAUCACGCAGAACUCCGAUUGCGAAGGCAGCAUACCGGCGCUCAACUGACGCUCAUGCACGAAAGUGUGGGUAUCGAACAGGAUUAGAUACCCUAGUAGUC
rnacentral:rRNA from 1 species